GUGAACAUUCAACAAUAAAUGUUGAAGUUACCAGGCAGUAAAUAAGACAGAAAUCGAAGUUUUAAGUCAGACGUUUGUAGAUCUAAAUGCGUUUUUUUUCUGCUCUUCCCCUAUCCUAGAGUCUCGUAUUUGACUUUUAAAGCGUACCGUUUGUCCUUCCACAGCCACCGUAGCACAGCUUCGCGAUAAGCGGGCUUUUAAAACAGCGCGAAAGUCGAGCCGCGAGCCAAACCGCAGACGCGAGGAGAAGGAUGUCAAAAAUAAAUUUUCGUUGACGCCUAAAGCCGAACAAGAAGGCCUACUGCGAUCAAAUCUUCCAAGAUUUCCAGAGGUCAGAUUUUUGUUUAUGUUUGUGAACGCUUUAAAAGUUGCAGUUGUAUUUUAUUGUGACGAUUCAGGAGGACGGCGAUGAGGACCUAAAUGUACUUCUUUAAUAUUAUUGUAGCUGCGUUUCUUCAAGGUUUAUAAAAUUGUCCAAAUAAUGAGAUGGAAUUUUCUAAUACAAAAAAGGCUAAUUUUUAUGUUAUUGUUGGGUUUGAUAACAAUUCUUUAC